GGGCGGUUAGCUCAAUUGGCCAGAGCGCCAGCUUUACACGCUGGAUGUUACAGGUUCGAGUCCUGUACCGCCCACCA
rnacentral:tRNA from 1 species